GGGUGCUUAGCUCAGUUGGUAGAGCGGCGCCCUUACAAGGCGUAGGUCGGGGGUUCAAAUCCCUCAGCACCCACCA
rnacentral:tRNA from 2 species